rnacentral:tRNA from 1 species
GAAGGGAUAGCUCAAUUGGUAGAGCAUGUGCUUAGCAUGCAUGAGGUCUUGGGUUCAAUCCCCAGUACCUCCU